UACGAAGGGGGCUAGCGUUGUUCGGAAUUACUGGGCGUAAAGCGCACGUAGGCGGAUCCUUAAGUCAGGGGUGAAAUCCCGAGGCUCAACCUCGGAACUGCCUUUGAUACUGGGGAUAUCGAGUCCGGGAGAGGUGAGUGGAACUGCGAGUGUAGAGGUGAAAUUCGUAGAUAUUCGCAAGAACACCAGUGGCGAAGGCGGCUCACUGGCCCGGUACUGACGCUGAGGUGCGAAAGCGUGGGGAGCAAACAGG
rnacentral:rRNA from 1 species